ACAACAGUCCUGCGUGAGUUCAGCUAUCUUCAGAAGGUUAUUAUCGACCCACGUCUUACCUUCACCAUGCACGGAUGCCUCAUUCCGUAGGAGACGGCUCCAGCGAGUAGUGCUUUCUGAGUAUGGAUUUCCAGAAGAGUUUCCUCAAGCAAGCAGAACUUAGUUCUCUAGCUGACACCCUAGCCUGGUGAUCCUUCCUGGAGGCACAGCCGCCGAAACUCAAGAACGACACUAACCUUCCAUAGGGGGACUUCCAUUAAGAACAGCCUGUCAAACAGCCAACAGGAAGAUGGGUAACCGUGGCUGCUCUUUAAUUUUUGAGUUUUGUGCAUCUCCGUGUGAGUGGUGGAUGGCAAUAAGACGGGUGGCGCCUAAGAAACUAUGCCUUUUAUCUUCAAGUUGAGGAAAUUAUCACUUUACUGACGUCAUUCUGCAUCUAGCAACCUUUCUUAAGUGAGUUAGGACUUUAAUUGCAAGGGUCACCCAUGUUCUGCAGGAGGAGGACUUCACCAGUCUUGCCCGUAAAUGACAGAGCACUGGUAUGUAAAGCAUUUGGUUUUUCACAAAUGCUUUUACUUGGGUUGGAAGCCGUGAUCUAUGUUUCAGGUCACAGGCAAGAACACGCUUUCCCCUAUCUGUUUCCAAGCGAUCAAUCAUUUAUUUCCCAGGGGAAUUGUAGUUCUUGGGCAUGUGGCCUGUUUUCCAUUGGCUUCUAUUAUCAUUUGCUAAUUAGAUUACAACCUAGUAUUUACCUUACUCUGUGGUUUCGAGACCUUUCCCUGCAGUGUUUUUCUGUUAGCUUUACAAAUGCUGCAAAUCAUGCUUUCUCUCGGCUUAUUGUGUGAAACCAAGAAGAGUGGGGAACUUUACAGUCGCAUCUUUUUUUUUUUUUUUCAGUUGGGGAGAGAGGUAAAAAUGUUAAAAUUAAUCUUACUUUAUGUUUAGACAUGACUCAACUUUAAAGAUAUGCAGUGAGGGCAUUCCAGAGAUUUUGUCAUCCAGGGAAUACUUUAGGUUUAAAACAUAACUGUUAGCUUAAAUUGACAGGCUGCUUAAGCUUAAUAAAAACUUCUCCUUUAACAUGGAAUAGUA